UGGGGAAUAUUGCACAAUGGGCGCAAGCCUGAUGCAGCCAUGCCGCGUGUAUGAAGAAGGCCUUCGGGUUGUAAAGUACUUUCAGCGGGGAGGAAGGGAGUAAAGUUAAUACCUUUGCUCAUUGACGUUACCCGCAGAAGAAGCACCGGCUAACUCCGUGCCAGCAGCCGCGGUAAUACGGAGGGUGCAAGCGUUAAUCGGACUUACUGGGCGUAAAGCGCACGCAGGCGGUUUGUUAAGUCAGAUGUGAAAUCCCCGGGCUCAACCUGGGAACUGCAUCUGAUACUGGCAAGCUUGAGUCUCGUAGAGGGGGGUAGAAUUCCAGGUGUAGCGGUGAAAUGCGUAGAGAUCUGGAGGAAUACCGGUGGCGAAGGCGGCCCCCUGGACGAAGACUGACGCUCAGGUGCGAAAGCGUGGGGAGCAAACAGG
rnacentral:rRNA from 1 species